AUUUGGGAGUAAUCGAUCUUACAAGGCAAUCUGAUUUUGCUGACGGAUGCUACAAGGAAUCUUUGGAAGAAAUUCAGGAUGCCAAAAGCGAUCCAAAACCGAGCGGCAAGCG